GGAGGAGCAUGUGGUUUAAUUCGAUGAUACGCGAGGAACCCUUUACCGUGGGCUUGAAAGUUAGUGACAUUCUGUGAAAGCAGAACUUCCGCAAGGACACGAAACUAGGUGCUGCAUGGCUGUCGUCAGCUCGUGCCGUGAGGUGUUGGGUUAAGUCCCGUAACGAGCGCAACCCCUAUCAUUAGUUGCCAUCAGGUCAUGCUGGGGACUCUAAUGAGACUGCCCGCGCAAGCGGUGAGGAAGGUGGGGACGACGUCAAGUCAUCACGGCCCUUACGUCCAGGGCUACACACGUGCUACAAUGGUAGAUACAGCAGGUUGCCACAUGGUAACAUGGAGCUAAUCCCAAAAGUCUAUCUCAGUUCGGAUUGAGGUCUGCAACUCGACCUCAUGAAGCUGGAUUCGCUAGUAAUCGAAAAUCAGCAAUGUUUCGGUGAAUACGUUCCCGGGCCUU
rnacentral:rRNA from 1 species